rnacentral:misc_RNA from 1 species
GAUGAAGAACGUAGCGAAAUGCGAUAAGUAAUGUGAAUUGCAGAAUUCCGCGAAUCAUCGAAUCUUUGAACGCACCUUGCGCCUUUUGGUAUUCCGAAAGGCACACCUGUUUGAGCGUCAUGAAUACCUCAAUCUCCAUCUUUUCUUCGGAUUGAUGGGUGACUUGGAUGUUGAGCCCUGCUGGUAUGCUAUAUCAGCUGGCUUUAAACUUAUUAGCCGGCUCUGUACUGGAUCGGUUUGACUCGACGUGAUAAUAUUAUCGUUGAGGAUGCAUGUCUCAUGCAGCCGGAAAGUAUCAAAGCAGCUUCUAGCUUGCCUUUAGUGCACUUUUACAUUUUAGACCUCAGAUCAGGUGGGACUACCCGCUGAACUUAAGCAUAUCAAUAAGCGGAGGA